rnacentral:rRNA from 1 species
UUAAAUUGAAGAGUUUGAUCAUGGCUCAGAUUGAACGCUGGCGGCAGGCCUAACACAUGCAAGUCGAACGGUAACAGGAAGCAGCUUGCUGCUUCGCUGACGAGUGGCGGACGGGUGAGUAAUGUCUGGGAAACUGCCUGAUGGAGGGGGAUAACUACUGGAAACGGUAGCUAAUACCGCAUAACGUCGCAAGACCAAAGAGGGGGACCUUCGGGCCUCUUGCCAUCGGAUGUGCCCAGAUGGGAUUAGCUUGUUGGUGGGGUAACGGCUCACCAAGGCGACGAUCCCUAGCUGGUCUGAGAGGAUGACCAGCCACACUGGAACUGAGACACGGUCCAGACUCCUACGGGAGGCAGCAGUGGGGAAUAUUGCACAAUGGGCGCAAGCCUGAUGCAGCCAUGCCGCGUGUAUGAAGAAGGCCUUCGGGUUGUAAAGUACUUUCAGCGGGGAGGAAGGGAGUAAAGUUAAUACCUUUGCUCAUUGACGUUACCCGCAGAAGAAGCACCGGCUAACUCCGUGCCAGCAGCCGCGGUAAUACGGAGGGUGCAAGCGUUAAUCGGAAUUACUGGGCGUAAAGCGCACGCAGGCGGUUUGUUAAGUCAGAUGUGAAAUCCCCGGGCUCAACCUGGGAACUGCAUCUGAUACUGGCAAGCUUGAGUCUCGUAGAGGGGGUAGAAUUCCAGGUGUAGCGGUGAAAUGCGUAGAGAUCUGGAGGAAUACCGGUGGCGAAGGCGGCCCCUGGACGAAGACUGACGCUCAGGUGCGAAAGCGUGGGGAGCAAACAGGAUUAGAUACCCUGGUAGUCCACGCCGUAAACGAUGUCGACUUGGAGGUUGUGCCCUUGAGGCGUGGCUUCCGGAGCUAACGCGUUAAGUCGACCGCCUGGGGAGUACGGCCGCAAGGUUAAAACUCAAAUGAAUUGACGGGGGCCCGCACAAGCGGUGGAGCAUGUGGUUUAAUUCGAUGCAACGCGAAGAACCUUACCUGGUCUUGACAUCCACGGAAGUUUUCAGAGAUGAGAAUGUGCCUUCGGGAACCGUGAGACAGGUGCUGCAUGGCUGUCGUCAGCUCGUGUUGUGAAAUGUUGGGUUAAGUCCCGCAACGAGCGCAACCCUUAUCCUUUGUUGCCAGCGGUCCGGCCGGGAACUCAAAGGAGACUGCCAGUGAUAAACUGGAGGAAGGUGGGGAUGACGUCAAGUCAUCAUGGCCCUUACGACCAGGGCUACACACGUGCUACAAUGGCGCAUACAAAGAGAAGCGACCUCGCGAGAGCAAGCGGACCUCAUAAAGUGCGUCGUAGUCCGGAUUGGAGUCUGCAACUCGACUCCAUGAAGUCGGAAUCGCUAGUAAUCGUGGAUCAGAAUGCCACGGUGAAUACGUUCCCGGGCCUUGUACACACCGCCCGUCACACCAUGGGAGUGGGUUGCAAAAGAAGUAGGUAGCUUAACCUUCGGGAGGGCGCUUACCACUUUGUGAUUCAUGACUGGGGUGAAGUCGUAACAAGGUAACCGUAGGGGAACCUGCGGUUGGAUCACCUCCUUACCUUAAAGAAGC